GAUGAACGCUAGCGGCAGGCCUAACACAUGCAAGUCGAGGGAGAAGCCCUUUCGGGGGCAGAAACCGGCGCACGGGUGCGUAACGCGUAUGCAACCUACCUUUCACAGGGGGAUAGCCCGAAGAAAUUUGGAUUAAUACCCCAUAAUAUUAUUGGAUGGCAUCAUUUGAUAAUUAAAACUGCGGUGGUGAAAGAUGGGCAUGCGUCCUAUUAGCUAGUUGGAGUGGUAACGGCACCCCAAGGCUACGAUAGGUAGGGGUCCUGAGAGGGAGAUCCCCCACACUGGUACUGAGACAGGGACCAGACUCCUACGGGAGGCAGCAGUGAGGAAUAUUGGUCAAUGGUCGGAAGACUGAACCAGCCAUGCCGCGUGCAGGAAGAAUGCCUUAUGGGUUGUAAACCGCUUUUAUAUGGGAAGAAUAAGGCGUACGUGUACGUUGAUGACGGUACCAUAUGAAUAAGCAUCGGCUAACUCCGUG
rnacentral:rRNA from 1 species